UUGGGUAUACUUUUUAUAGUGACUAGACCCCACCGCAAGCGAUGCUCUCAAAUCCAGAAAAAUCCCUUAAGAUUUUUUUGGAAAGUUAUAGUACCACCGCGACGACAGGAAAUCGAACCUGCGAUCUUUGGUGAGAAGAAAAACCACUGGGAUACAAGCCCUUCUCCGGUUGUGUCAGGGUUGAAAUUGGAUAGGACUCGCGUGAUUGUAUCUUUAUAUAUAAAGUAAGGUUUACUCUCUCCUUAGGCCAUCCACGUCUCUUGCCCCUAUGUUUGACACGUGUCCCAUCAGAGUGAAACGCAUCGUAUCAUUUAUUCAGAGAUAUUCUGGAUUUUAAUCGUUGCCCAAUGCGGCCCAAAUAAACAGAGUUUGUCCCUAACCCUAAUUCUAAUGACGCAAGUUCGUCUCUUCUCCUCUUCUUCAAUGUGCCGACACGGUAAACCGACCAUGGAGUUUGUUGGAGGUGAUGGGAGACGAGUUUUUACGGCUGAUCUAUGUGGCGUUAAUCUGUUCAUAUCCUUUAGAAUGGAUUUGACUUCAACCCGUCGCUGUAGCACCACCGCCGUCUGCUCAGAUUUUGGGAGGCCAAGAAUGUGAAUAGAAGCGGCGAGCUUAUGGAGGUCGAAACGCUUCUUCUUGACGCUCAGCUUAAAAGAGAAGCAUCGAAUAUUAUCAUAAGAGUGGUAGUUCGUAAAAUUUUGCUGUCACGAAAGAUGAAGAACAUAGAGUUCUGACAUGUAAGACGCCACACAGAAACUAUUACUUUGUUUAGAUCCCUGAGGAAGCUAGAGAGCUUGAAAAGCAACUCAGAGAGACCACUAAGGAGAAGAAUGAAGCUGUAUGAGAGUUCGACUUUGGGAAGGUGUAUCAGAUAUUGUGGUUGAAACAUUUGAUAUUGUGCAGGCACAUUCACAAGCCGUGGAUUCAGCAAGGUCCAAAUGGCUGUACAAGAUAUACGCGAGAGCGCAUCCACCAGAACAACCACCCUACACAGCAUGAGAUGUCAACGAUGCAAGAUUCAACUUCUUCCAUUAAAGCCGAGAGAACUUCACAUGGUGAAAACAGAAUCGAACUAUCACCAGGACACUUCAGCGGUUGAGAGUGGGAAGAAGACGAUGCAAGAAGUCCUCUUGAAUUGCUUGGAGAAGGCAGAGAGUGCCCAUCAAUGGAGGAAAGCUCAAGAAUCACUGGUCAGUCUAGAACGGAACAAUGUAGCUUCUGUUGACUCAAUCGUUAGAGUAGGAAUGGACGCCAAUGAGAACCUACGCUCUCAGUUCUAUCAUCAUCUCUUGAUGUUUUUAAUCUGCUAACGCCAGCCUUCUUACUUCCAUUGACAAUCCGUUGAAACUCAAUAAUGAUGCAUGCGCUAAGAUCAACUCCAUGAUCAUCC